GAAUUUAAGCAUAUCAGUAGGUGGAGAAAAGGCAAUAAUGAUUACUUUCUGAGUACUUGCGGACGAAAUGAAGAGAGCACAUAAUCACAUGUGGCUGGUGCCCAAAUUGUAAUUUCAUGCGCUUGUCCGACAAAGCCUUGGCAUAAGCCCAUUGGAAAUGGGUGCCACAGCGGGUUAGAGUCCCACCAUGUGGCCUGUUGGGAUUUGUGCAAGGGGUGCUUUGGGUGAGUUGCACUUCUUUGGAGUGGGGUGUGAAUCUGGUGGUACGUGUCACCCAAUGCAAAGCUAUGCUGGGACUGAUAGUGAACAAGUACCAUGAGGGAAUGGUGAAAAGAACUUUGGAAAGAGAGGCAAGCAGCACAUGUGAUUUCAGUUGGCAAAGGGGGUUUGAUUGAUGUCUUGUUUUCUGACUGCACUGUUUGUACACCACCUUUGCAGUGAGAACUGCAUUGUGGGUCAAGCGGUGUGCUUCUGAUUUUGCGUGUGAGGGUUGUGCUUGUCAGGAUCAUGUGGUUGGUGAGGUCACGUCCUUGCGUUUGGCCCUGCUGACUGUCAGUACCUGACAUGUGCAAGUGUUGAAAUUGUGAGAACAUGAGGCUCCAGAACCUGUCAUUGAAACCUCGCCCGUCUUGAAACACGGAUCAAGGAGUCUGGUGUGUGUGCAAGUCAUUGUGUUGCAGACUGUAGGGCGAAGAGAGGUUGUUUGCUGGCACAUGCUGCCCCAGCGCCCAACAACGAGGAUGGAACCUUGAGCUUGAGCAUGUGCAUCUGGACCCGAAAGGUGGUGAACUAUGCUUGUGAGAAGGAAAGUCAGAGGAAACUCUGAUGGAAGCAUGCAGUGGUACUGACGUGCAAAUCGUUCACCUGACCUU
rnacentral:rRNA from 1 species